AGGGAAUUUUCCACAAUGGACGAAAGUCUGAUGGAGCAACGCCGCGUGAGUGAUGAAGGUCUUCGGAUUGUAAAGCUCUGUCUUCUGGGACGAUAAUGACGGUACCAGAGGAGGAAGCCACGGCUAACUACGUGCCAGCAGCCGCGGUAAUACGUAGGUGGCAAGCGUUGUCCGAAUUUACUGGGCGUAAAGGAUGUGUAGGCGGAUAUUUAAGUGAGAUGUGAAAUCCCCGGGCUUAACUUGGGGGCUGCAUUUCAAACUGGAUGCCUAGAGUGCAGGAGAGGAAAGCAGAAUUCCUAGUGUAGCGGUGAAAUGCGUAGAGAUUAGGAAGAAUACCAGUGGCGAAGGCGGCUUUCUGGACUGUAACUGACGCUGAGGCAUGAAAGCGUGGGGAGCAAAC
rnacentral:rRNA from 1 species